UACGUAGGGUGCGAGCGUUACUCGGAAUUACUGGGCGUAAAGCGUGCGUAGGUGGUUUUUUAAGUCCGUUGUGAAAGCCCUGGGCUCAACCUGGGAAUGGCAGUGGAUACUGGAAAGCUAGAGUGCGGUAGAGGGUAGUGGAAUUCCCGGUGUAGCAGUGAAAUGCGUAGAGAUCGGGAGGAACACCAGUGGCGAAGGCGGCUACCUGGACCAGCACUGACACUGAGGCACGAAAGCGUGGGGAGCAAACAGG
rnacentral:rRNA from 1 species